UAGGAAUGAAUGGGCGGUCAUGUUUUAGACUUCUACGCUGGUCCCACUUUAGAGAUUUCAGUCACUGAUUGGCUGGACGAUGACUCAUCUUCAUCACCUCAACCCAGUCCCAACAUCUUCAUCAUGCAUGAACGAAACAGGUUUGAAUUAUGGCAGGAAACUGACUCCAUAUUAAUCCUUCCACCAUCAAGAAUGGAAACUCCCUGAUGCCAUUGGUCGAGAGAACAUCUGAGUUCUCACUGGUGGUCUGCUUGGAGCGACGCCCAAAGGUGUUAUCUGAUUGGAUCACACCUGAUAAACCUUUGCAUAUGGCACUGUGGUCUCUUCACAUCAGGCAGGCUAAAUGAUUAGCAUGCAUUCACCUGUAUGUGUGUAGACGUGUGUUUGGUAUUGGAGAGAUAUGACGUCAUUGUAAAAAAAGAAUCAAAUACACUUCCUAUUUUAUUUUACAAUCAUCCUUUUCACUUCAAGCAUUUACAUUUGAAAUCAUCUACUUUCACCGACUCUGCAGUCCAAUAUGUAUGCCUACAUUGUCUUAUUUUACUGUGCAUUAUUGCAGCCUAUAUGUAUAAUUAACAUUUUUAUUUGAAGUAUGGAAAUGCAGGUUACG